rnacentral:rRNA from 1 species
CGGGCGGCGUUGCUUUACACUGCAGUCGAACGAUGAUCCCAGCUUGCUGGGGGAUUAGUGGCGAACGGGUGAGUAACACGUGAGUAACCUGCCCUUAACUCUGGGAUAAGCCUGGGAAACUGGGUCUAAUACCGGAUAUGACUCCUCAUCGCAUGGUGGGGGGUGGAAAGCUUUAUUGUGGUUUUGGAUGGACUCGCGGCCUAUCAGCUUGUUGGUGAGGUAAUGGCUCACCAAGGCGACGACGGGUAGCCGGCCUGAGAGGGUGACCGGCCACACUGGGACUGAGACACGGCCCAGACUCCUACGGGAGGCAGCAGUGGGGAAUAUUGCACAAUGGGCGAAAGCCUGAUGCAGCGACGCCGCGUGAGGGAUGACGGCCUUCGGGUUGUAAACCUCUUUCAGUAGGGAAGAAGCGAAAGUGACGGUACCUGCAGAAGAAGCGCCGGCUAACUACGUGCCAGCAGCCGCGGUAAUACGUAGGGCGCAAGCGUUAUCCGGAAUUAUUGGGCGUAAAGAGCUCGUAGGCGGUUUGUCGCGUCUGCCGUGAAAGUCCGGGGCUCAACUCCGGAUCUGCGGUGGGUACGGGCAGGCUAGAGUGAUGUAGGGGAGACUGGAAUUCCUGGUGUAGCGGUGAAAUGCGCAGAUAUCAGGAGGAACACCGAUGGCGAAGGCAGGUCUCUGGGCAUUAACUGACGCUGAGGAGCGAAAGCAUGGGGAGCGAACAGGAUUAGAUACCCUGGUAGUCCAUGCCGUAACGUUGGGCACUAGUGUGGGGGACAUUCCACGUUUUCGCGCGUAGCUAACGCAUUAAGUGCCCGCCUGAGAGUACGGCCGCAAGGCUAAAACUCAAGG